rnacentral:rRNA from 1 species
AUUGAACGCUGGCGGCAGGCCUAACACAUGCAAGUCGAACGGUAACAGGAAACAGCUUGCUGUUUCGCUGACGAGUGGCGGACGGGUGAGUAAUGUCUGGGAAACUGCCUGAUGGAGGGGGAUAACUACUGGAAACGGUAGCUAAUACCGCAUAACGUCGCAAGACCAAAGAGGGGGACCCUCGGGCCUCUUGCCAUCGGAUGUGCCCAGAUGGGAUUAGCUUGUUGGUGGGGUAACGGCUCACCAAGGCGACGAUCCCUAGCUGGUCUGAGAGGAUGACCAGCCACACUGGAACUGAGACACGGUCCAGACUCCUACGGGAGGCAGCAGUGGGGAAUAUUGCACAAUGGGCGCAAGCCUGAUGCAGCCAUGCCGCGUGUAUGAAGAAGGCCUUCGGGUUGUAAAGUACUUUCAGCGGGGAGGAAGGGAGUAAAGUUAAUACCUUUGCUCAUUGACGUUACCCGCAGAAGAAGCACCGGCUAACUCCGUGCCAGCAGCCGCGGUAAUACGGAGGGUGCAAGCGUUAAUCGGAAUUACUGGGCGUAAAGCGCACGCAGGCGGUUUGUUAAGUCAGAUGUGAAAUCCCCGGGCUCAACCUGGGAACUGCAUCUGAUACUGGCAAGCUUGAGUCUCGUAGAGGGGGGUAGAAUUCCAGGUGUAGCGGUGAAAUGCGUAGAGAUCUGGAGGAAUACCGGUGGCGAAGGCGGCCCCCUGGACGAAGACUGACGCUCAGGUGCGAAAGCGUGGGGAGCAAACAGGAUUAGAUACCCUGGUAGUCCACGCCGUAAACGAUGUCGACUUGGAGGUUGUGCCCUUGAGGCGUGGCUUCCGGAGCUAACGCGUUAAGUCGACCGCCUGGGGAGUACGGCCGCAAGGUUAAAACUCAAAUGAAUUGACGGGGGCCCGCACAAGCGGUGGAGCAUGUGGUUUAAUUCGAUGCAACGCGAAGAACCUUACCUGGUCUUGACAUCCACGGAAGUUUUCAGAGAUGAGAAUGUGCCUUCGGGAACCGUGAGACAGGUGCUGCAUGGCUGUCGUCAGCUCGUGUUGUGAAAUGUUGGGUUAAGUCCCGCAACGAGCGCAACCCUUAUCCUUUGUUGCCAGCGGUCCGGCCGGGAACUCAAAGGAGACUGCCAGUGAUAAACUGGAGGAAGGUGGGGAUGACGUCAAGUCAUCAUGGCCCUUACGACCAGGGCUACACACGUGCUACAAUGGCGCAUACAAAGAGAAGCGACCUCGCGAGAGCAAGCGGACCUCAUAAAGUGCGUCGUAGUCCGGAUUGGAGUCUGCAACUCGACUCCAUGAAGUCGGAAUCGCUAGUAAUCGUGGAUCAGAAUGCCACGGGAAAAGGUUCCCGGCCCU